AGCGAACGCUGGCGGCAGGCCUAACACAUGCAAGUCGAACGAACCUUUCGGGGUUAGUGGCGGACGGGUGAGUAACACGUGGGAACGUGCCUUUAGGUUCGGAAUAACUCAGGGAAACUUGUGCUAAUACCGAAUGUGCCCUUCGGGGGAAAGAUUUAUCGCCUUUAGAGCGGCCCGCGUCUGAUUAGCUAGUUGGUUGAGGUAAUGGCUCACCAAGGCGACGAUCAGUAACUGGUCUGAGAGGAUGAUCAGCCACAUUGGGACUGAGACACGGCCCAAACUCCUACGGGAGGCAGCAGUGGGGAAUCUUGCGCAAUGGGCGAAAGCCUGACGCAGCCAUGCCGCGUGAAUGAUGAAGGUCUUAGGAUUGUAAAAUUCUUUCACCGGGGACGAUAAUGACGGUACCCGGAGAAGAAGCCCCGGCUAACUUCGUG
rnacentral:rRNA from 1 species